rnacentral:rRNA from 1 species
UACGAAGGGGGCUAGCGUUGCUCGGAAUCACUGGGCGUAAAGGGCGCGUAGGCGGCGUUUUUAAGUCGGGGGUGAAAGCCUGUGGCUCAACCACAGAAUUGCCUUCGAUACUGUUUGGCUUGAGUUUGGUAGAGGUUGGUGGAACUGCGAGUGUAGAGGUGAAAUUCGUAGAUAUUCGCAAGAACACCAGUGGCGAAGGCGGCCAACUGGACCAAUCUGACGCUGAGGCGCGAAAGCGUGGGG